CACCCUUCUCUGGGCAGGCCCGGGGACAGCAAAGCUGUGGGGAUGUAAAAUCAUAGAAUGGCUUAGGUUGGAAGGGACCUUGAAGAUCAGUGAACUCCACCCCCUGCCAUGAGCUGGCAGCUCAGGCUGCCCAGGGCCCAUCCAUGGCCUGGGGCACCUCCAGGCAUGGGGCACCCACAGCUCUGGGCAGCAGUGCCAGCACUUCACCGCCCUCUGAGAACGCUCAUCCUCUGAGACAUCUCCUUGAGCACACAAACUCCAGGGUAAGCUGGCAGAGUUCCUCCAAGGUCAGCAGAGCUGCGCUGGCUCACGUCCAGAGGAGAGGACCUGGUCCUUCCAAGAAGUAGUGGUGUGGUGGCAGAGCAUGUGGCUGCGGAGGCUGAGGAUACCAACCUGCCACCUACCCACGCAGGGACCUGGUUUCUACCACGUGCUGGUACUGGACCAUGUGUUGGAGUCUUCUGCUCUUGUGACCACAGUGUGGCCACAUCCAGUGGGGAUGGCGGCCAGUGGGUGCAGGGCUGGGAGGUGUUGGGGGCUCUGUCUGCUCUUGCUGAAGUUUCACUCAAAAACAUGUGGUUGGUGCAUGGGCGUUGCAGGGCCACCUCCCAUCCCUGCCCAUGGGGGGGUACUCUGCUGUCUCCAUCGAAUCCAAACCUGGAGAAAAUGGUGG
ensembl:lncRNA